GCCUGGGUGGCUUGGUCGGUUAAGCGUCUGACUUCGGCUCAGGUCAUGAUCUCACAGUCUGUGAGUUCGAGCCCCGCGUCGGGCU
rnacentral:tRNA from 1 species